UCACAAAGGCUUUUCCCGUAUUUACAUUGAAAAUCUAAAGCUUGACUUUUUUAUUAUUAUUAUUAUUUCUUUUUAAAGGAAAAUGAGAUUUGGUACAAAUCGAUUUGAUUAUCAGGAAUUUAGGCUAUCACAUUCUAUUGAAUUCUCCCACUUUAAUUCUUUAUUCCUCUUGCAGAUGAAAACGUAAAUGUAACUGUUUACCUAUUUACUGUUGUCUUCUUCUAUGCAAAAACGUCUGUGCAGUUCUUUUUUAAUAUCUCCGGGCAUUAACUGCACUGGACAUGUUUCUUAAAAUAAAAGACAUCGAAUUUUCUUCAAUUACAUUGAUUUUCGAUCCACCACCAGAGGGCAAUAAUUCCAUUUGCUAAAUGGGAUAUUUUAAAAUUAAUAUACCCCAGAAAAACGAUUUCAUUAAAAUAUUUUGAGCUGUAUUUGGAUUUCACAAUGCAUUUUUCUUAAAAAAUACUUCAGCUCUAUAAUUUAAUGCUAAUUAUGUUAAUAACAUAAAUCUAAUAUGUUGCUCUGCACCUACUUAGCCAUUUAUGUUGUACUUCCAUGCUGAGCAGCUGAAGUAAGACUUAAAAAAAUCUUACUGGCCAUCUUCAUGCAGUACUGUAAUGCUGCAAGGUUUAGACCUCAUGCAAAAAAGGAUUUUAUCAUUUUAAGGUUUAUUUUGCAUGUCAUUUAUUUCAUUUUUCUUAUUUUGUUACACUAUUGUGAAAUCAUUGUAUAUUAGCCUAUAUUUGUAAUUCCAAAUUCAGAAACUGUAUCACCUGAUAGGUACCUUUGUGUCCUUAUUUUAUAUGCAUUUCUUUUCUUCAUGUGUAUUGUAUCUCCAGCAGUUGAAGUGAAGGCCUUGUUCUCUAAGAAAUUAUACACUCCUGGUUUCAAAUGCAGUCUUCUCUUUAGUGAAAUCUUGCAGCCGGAUUUUCCAGUAGAUGCAUGUGUACUAUUGCAAAGAUGAGCCAAAGCUAAUAUUGUCCUGAAAAAGUGAAAAAGUACAAAAACAUUACAGACAAAUGAUAGAUAUAAGUAUCAUAUAGACGCAAGUAUCUGUAUAUAUUUUUGUAUUUUAAUAUGUCUGCUUGUUUAAACUUCUUUAUCUCAUUCAAAUCCUUUUAAGGUUCUCACCAUGGCAUAACGAUUAGAUAUAGAGAAUUUUAAUGCUACCAAGUAAUUUUUUACACAGUAAAAUGAUUAAUAAUUAAAAUAAUUAAAAUGUGUUUCUGGUAAUAGUACUGUCUUUCUUGUGCUCAGCUUAAUAUAGCUGGAAAAAGAAAGAUGAUGAAGGGCCUGGAGCAUCUCCCAUGUGAGGAAAGGCUGAGUUACCUGGGUCUCUUCAGCCUGGACAAAAGAAGACUGAGAGAGGAUCUGAUCAAGGUUUAUAAAAAAAAGCACAGGAGACAAAUGGUUGAGCUCAGACUCUUCAGUGAUGUGUAGUGAUAAGACGAGGAGCAAUGUCCAAAAACUGGAACAUAUGCUGUUCCACACAAAUAUGCAGAAGAACUUCUUUACACUGAGGGUGAUGGAUCACUGGAACAGUCUGCACAGAGAGGCUGUGGAGUCUCCUUUGGAGAUAUUCAAGACCCAUCUUGAUGCCCAACUGUGUGACCCAUUGUAGGGUACCUGCUUUAGAGGAGCACGGAUUCAAUGAUCUCUUGCGGUCCCUUCCAACCCCUGCAAGUCUGUGAUUCUGUGAAGAAGGAGCGCCUUAAAAUUGUGGGAUAGGACAUGAAACGGGGAUUAAUUAAUGUUAAACUUAGAUAAGCAACUUGUUAGUAUCAAAAAGUCUUCCCUCACUAGGAGAAAGCAGCUUCAUUUCCCCACUAAUAGAACAAAAUAAUUUCUACCUGUGGAAUGGCAAAAUUCAGCUUUGCUUUUGAUUGAAAGGCAAAUUCUAAUAAAUAAUGAAUCAUGAUUGUGAAUAUUAUAUUUAUCUAAACUCC
ensembl:lncRNA